UACGGGAGGCAGCAGUGGGGAAUAUUGGACAAUGGGCGAAAGCCUGAUCCAGCCAUGCUGCGUGUGUGAAGAAGUCCUUUUGGUUGUAAAGCACUUUAAGUGGGGAGGAAAAGCUUAUGGUUAAUACCCAUAAGCCCUGACGUUACCCACAGAAUAAGCACCGGCUAACUCUGUGCCAGCAGCCGCGGUAAU
rnacentral:rRNA from 1 species